GACGGGUGAGUAAUGCCUAGGAAAUUGCCCUGAUGUGGGGGAUAACCAUUGGAAACGAUGGCUAAUACCGCAUGAUGCCUACGGGCCAAAGAGGGGGACCUUCGGGCCUCUCGCGUCAGGAUAUGCCUAGGUGGGAUUAGCUAGUUGGUGAGGUAAGGGCUCACCAAGGCGACGAUCCCUAGCUGGUCUGAGAGGAUGAUCAGCCACACUGGAACUGAGACACGGUCCAGACUCCUACGGGAGGCAGCAGUGGGGAAUAUUGCACAAUGGGCGCAAGCCUGAUGCAGCCAUGCCGCGUGUGUGAAGAAGGCCUUCGGGUUGUAAAGCACUUUCAGUCGUGAGGAAGGUAGUGUAGUUAAUAGCUGCAUUAUUUGACGUUAGCGACAGAAGAAGCACCGGCUAACUCCGUGCCAGCAGCCGCGGUAAUACGGAGGGUGCGAGCGUUAAUCGGAAUUACUGGGCGUAAAGCGCAUGCAGGUGGUUUGUUAAGUCAGAUGUGAAAGCCCGGGGCUCAACCUCGGAAU
rnacentral:rRNA from 1 species